rnacentral:rRNA from 1 species
UACGUAGGUGACAAGCGUUGUCCGGAUUUACUGGGCGUAAAGCGCGCGUAGGCGGCUUUGCAAGUCGAGUGUGAAAUCCCCAGGCUUAACCUGGGAACUGCAUUCGAGACUGCAUAGCUAGAGUAUGGGAGAGGGAAGUGGAAUUUCAGGUGUAGCGGUGAAAUGCGUAGAUAUCUGAAGGAACAUCAGUGGCGAAAGCGACUUCCUGGACCAAUACUGACGCUCAUGUGCGAAAGCGUGGGGAGCAAACAGG